rnacentral:rRNA from 1 species
AUUGAACGCUGGCGGCAUGCCUUACACAUGCAAGUCGAACGGUAACAGGUCUUCGGAUGCUGACGAGUGGCGAACGGGUGAGUAAUACAUCGGAACGUGCCCGAGAGUGGGGGAUAACGAGGCGAAAGCUUUGCUAAUACCGCAUACGAUCUCAGGAUGAAAGCAGGGGACCGCAAGGCCUUGCGCUCACGGAGCGGCCGAUGGCAGAUGAGGUAGUGGGUGGGAUAAAAGCUUACCAAGCCGACGAUCUGUAGCUGGUCUGAGAGGACGACCAGCCACACUGGGACGGAGGCACGGCCCAGACUCCUACGGGAGGCAGCAGUGGGGAAUUUUGGACAAUGGGCGCAAGCCUGAUCCAGCCAGGCCGCGUGCAGGAUGAAGGCCUUCGGGUUGUAAACUGCUUUUGUACAGAACUAAAAGACUCCUUCUAAUAAAGGGGGUCCAUGACGGUACCGUAAGAAUAAGCACCGGCUAACUACGUGCCAGCCGCCGCCGUAAUAC